UGCCAGACUCCUACGGGAGGCAGCAGUGGGGAAUAUUGCACAAUGGGGGAAACCCUGAUGCAGCGACGCCGCGUGAGCGAUGAAGUAUUUCGGUAUGUAAAGCUCUAUCAGCAGGGAAGAAGAUGACGGUACCUGACUAAGAAGCCCCGGCUAACUACGUGCCAGCAGCCGCGGUAAUACGUAGGGGGCAAGCGUUAUCCGGAUUUACUGGGUGUAAAGGGAGCGUAGACGGCGAUGCAAGCCAGAUGUGAAAGCCCGGGGCGCAACCCCGGGACUGCAUUUGGAACUGUGUGGCUGGAGUGUCGGAGAGGCAGGCGGAAUUCCUAGUGUAGCGGUGAAAUGCGUAGAUAUUAGGAGGAACACCAGUGGCGAAGGCGGCCUGCUGGACGAUGACUGACGUUGAGGCCCGAAAGCGUGGGGAGCAAACAGGAUUAGAUACCCCUGUAACC
rnacentral:rRNA from 1 species